rnacentral:rRNA from 1 species
CCAGUCAGUGGUUGUACUGGUGUAAGAGUGUAGGCCGUGACAUAGGCAAAUCCGUGUCACAUCAAGGCUGAGACUUGAUGCAUACCCGUUGUGGGGAAUUCAGUGAUCCUAUGCUGCCGAGAAAAGCCUCUAGUGAGUUCAUACACGGCCCGUACCCCAAACCGACACAGGUGAUCAGGUAGAGAAUACCAAGGCGAUCGAGAGAACUGUGGUUAAGGAACUCGGCAAAAUGCCCCCGUAACUUCGGGAGAAGGGGGACCACGCCCGGUGACGAUCCUUGCGAUCUGAGCUGGGGGUGGUCGCAGAGACCAGAGAGAAGCGACUGUUUACUAAAAACACAGGUCCGUGCGAAGACGUAAGUCGAUGUAUACGGACUGACGCCUGCCCGGUGCUGGAAGGUUAAGAGGACCGGUUAGCCGCAAGGCGAAGCUGAGAAUUUAAGCCCCAGUAAACGGCGGUGGUAACUAUAACCAUCCUAAGGUAGCGAAAUUCCUUGUCGGGUAAGUUCCGACCUGCACGAAUGGCGUAACGACUUCUCUGCUGUCUCGACCACAGACUCGGCGAAAUUGCACUACGAGUAAAGAUGCUCGUUACGCGCGGCAGGACGAAAAGACCCCGGGACCUUUACUAUAGCUUGGUAUUGGCGUUCGAUUCGGUUUGUGUAGGAUAGGUGGGAGACUGUGAAGCAUGCACGCCAGUGUGUGUGGAGUCGUUGUUGAAAUACCACUCUGAUCGUAUUGGACGUCUAACCUCGGCCCAUGAUCUGGGUUAGGGACAGUGCCUGGUGGGUAGUUUAACUGGGGCGGUUGCCUCCUAAAGAGUAACGGAGGCGCCCAAAGGUUCCCUCAGCCUGGAUGGCAAUCAGGUGUUGAGUGCAAGUGCACAAGGGAGCUUGACUGUGAGACUGACACGUCGAGCAGGGACGAAAGUCGGGACUAGUGAUCCGGCACCGGCAAGUGGAAGCGGUGUCGCUCAACGGAUAAAAGGUACCCCGGGGAUAACAGGCUGAUCUUCCCCAAGAGUCCAUAUCGACGGGAUGGUUUGGCACCUCGAUGUCGGCUCGUCGCAUCCUGGGGCUGGAGUAGGUCCCAAGGGUUGGGCUGUUCGCCCAUUAAAGCGGCACGCGAGCUGGGUUUAGAACGUCGUGAGACAGUUCGGUCUCUAUCCGCCGCGCGCGUAAGAAACUUGAGGAAGGCUGUCCCUAGUACGAGAGGACCGGGACGGACGAACCUCUGGUGUGCCAGUUGUUCCACCAGGAGCAUCGCUGGUUAGCUACGUUCGGAAGGGAUAACCGCUGAAAGCAUCUAAGCGGGAAGCCUGUUCCAAGAUGAGGUUUCUCACCACCUUCGCGUGGUUAAGGCCCCCCACAGACCAUGGGGUUGAUAGGCCGGAACUGGAAGCGCAGCAAUGCGUGCAGGUGACCGGUACUAAUCGGCCGAGGGCUUACA